CCUACGGGGGGCUGCAGUGGGGAAUAUUGGACAAUGGGCGAAAGCCUGAUCCAGCCAUGCCGCGUGUGUGAAGAAGGCCUUCGGGUUGUAAAGCACUUUCAGUGGGGAAGAAAGCCUUGGGGCUAAUACCCUCGAGGAAGGACAUCACCCACAGAAGAAGCACCGGCUAACUCCGUGCCAGCAGCCGCGGUAAUACGGAGGGUGCGAGCGUUAAUCGGAAUUACUGGGCGUAAAGCGCGCGUAGGCGGUCUGAUAAGCCGGUUGUGAAAGCCCCGGGCUCAACCUGGGAACGGCAUCCGGAACUGUCAGGCUAGAGUGCAGGAGAGGAAGGUAGAAUUCCCGGUGUAGCGGUGAAAUGCGUAGAGAUCGGGAGGAAUACCAGUGGCGAAGGCGGCCUUCUGGACUGACACUGACGCUGAGGUGCGAAAGCGUGGGUAGCAAACAGGAUUAGAUACCCGAGUAUC
rnacentral:rRNA from 1 species